UAAUAAAAUCGUAAUAGUAAUAAAAAAAAAAGGAGAAGAAAUAGUAUGAAAGAAACAACGGUAGCGGUUGAAAAUGGUACCUAUAUACAGAUAUACAUAUAUAGGCGCACAGUGUCUCGCUGUUUGUCUCGCUUGCACGCAUCCUCAACACUUGCUCACCCACUUUGUUCGUUCUUUCUCUCUCUCCCAUAUAUACAUACAUACACACAUGUUUCAUCAUUCGCACGUACACACGUAUCACUCGUCGCAUCGUCUCUCGUCUCACAUUCGAUUCCGAGUGUACACGGAUCACGAUGAAAAAGUGUUAAAACGACGAUAAACGCGGGAAAAAAGAACGUAGGCGCGCACGCGUGUAAACAAACCGUGUUCAGCGAACAGAACGAAAAGGAAAACGUCGCGUCACGGAAGGGGUCAAGAAACAAGAGACAUCCACGUAUGCAUCGAGAACCGAGAAACAAGUUGCUCAGCCUCUGGAAAUUUCGUUUCUCCACGCACACUGAUUUUCAACAGCCUCUCGAAUCAUGGUCGAAGCACUGUUUUCAGAUUAUAUGUGAUUAUAUUUCGAUCGGAAAAUUCGAUCUCGAUUCGCUGAUUUCGUCGCGGACACCCAAUUCGUUCGAUGAUUACAAAGAUUAGAUUAGAAAAAUAAUCCAGGAGAGCUUUCUCUCUCUUUCUCUCGAGGCUCGAUCGAAAAUUCUUCCUUCUCUUUUUCUUUUUCUUUUUUUCUAUCUAGCCAGGACCAACGAUCCGAAUAUAUCGAGAAAGUGAUCCGAGAAUUGGGUCACCUUACACUGAUGGACGUCUUCCGUACCAACCCUCGAAAGGCUUUACUCCUUCUCCCUUCUUUCCCUCGACUCAUCAUUCAAUCCAAUCGAUUUCUUUCGCUCUACCUUUCUCUCUUUUUCUCUCUCUCCAAUCUCUCCCCCUCUCUCUCUUUAACAAUAGCAGGUACUAGCAUAGCUACCACAGUCGUACGUAUCGUUAAUAGUUACAAUUAAGUUUAGAUAUUACUAUAAAGGGUACUGUUCUCCCACCUUGUCCCCUCUCGCCUCUGUUCCCCGCGAUUUUUCCUCUUCCAUCCACUUUUUCCUACCCUUAUUAGUUCCGCGGUUAAAAAACAUUUGUUUUUAGCACCCCCUCACGCGGCCACACAACUGCCGAAUCGCUCGACAAUCUUCAAGAUUCCUCGAUUUUCCAUAAUAGGAAGAAGCCUCGACACGGCCUCUCUCUCUCUCUCUCUCUUUCUCCAUUCUUCUCUUGAAGAGUCUCUUAAUCUUAUAUCGAAGGAACUCUUCUUUCAGGGAAUUUUCCGUCCGAGUUUCUGAGAAACCGAAUUUUCGAGAACACCGAACGAGGUUAUCUUAUCCCUCGACAAAAUUUACCAUCGAAGAAAUCCGUUUUCGUUAUCCAAAUUAGGAGAAAUUUCGUUCGACUGGA